GGCUCCGUGGCUUAAUGGUUACGGCUUCUGCCUCACAAGCAAAAGAUUCAGGGAUCAAAUCCCGGUCGGUACCU
rnacentral:tRNA from 1 species